GACGAACGCUGGCGGCGUGCCUAAUACAUGCAAGUUGAGCGCUGAAGGUUGGUACUUGUACCAACUGGAUGAGCAGCGAACGGGUGAGUAACGCGUGGGGAAUCUGCCUUUGAGCGGGGGACAACAUUUGGAAACGAAUGCUAAUACCGCAUAAAAACUUUAAACACAAGUUUUAAGUUUGAAAGAUGCAAUUGCAUCACUCAAAGAUGAUCCCGCGUUGUAUUAGCUAGUUGGUGAGGUAAAGGCUCACCAAGGCGAUGAUACAUAGCCGACCUGAGAGGGUGAUCGGCCAAAUUGGGACUGGGACACGGCCCAAACUCCUACGGGAGGCAGCAGUAGGGAAUCUUCGGCAAUGGACGAAAGUCUGACCGAGCAACGCCGCGUGAGUGAAGAAGGUUUUCGGAUCGUAAAACUCGGUUGGUAGAGAAGAACGUUGGUGAGAGUGGAAAGCUCAUCAAGUGACGGUAACUACCCAGAAAGGGACGGCUAACUACGUG
rnacentral:rRNA from 1 species